rnacentral:lncRNA from 10 species
CUCUUCCCCACUUCAAGCCCGCAACUUGAUCUGCAUCGUUUCUCUUACAAUUUUAUACUACAGCAAGCAGUUAUUUAAACAAGAGGGUGCGUUCCAGAAUGCUAAGAACCAAAGGAGAAGGGCAUGCUUCUGUCCAUGGCUUUUUACUUUUUAAAACUGAAGGAUCUAAUAUUUCUCCUCUUGUUCUCAGGAAGUGAUAGCAGUAUUAGACAGAAAAGAUGAAUGUAGCGAGAAAGAAUAAACCUUGUGAUCCUUCUGUUUUACGCUCUUGCAUGAUCUUCCCAUGUCUUGGUGACCAAGCUCUUUCUAGCCCGAAUCAGCAUGGAGAACAAGCAGAGGAUGGACUUCUGCAGCAUCUUCUGCAAGAUGUGAGGACUGCAAUAUUCCCAUUCACGCAUGAACCACAGCUGCUCUCCCUAGGUCCCCUGACCUCUGGAGAAGGCUACUAGCAUAGCACUGACCCAACUUCACCAAGACAUCAAACGACAAAAGAAGGAAACAAGACGUGGGUGUCAUUACUGCAAGUCCCAUUGAGCAUAAACCUGACCAUGAGGCUGUCCUGCUGAAACCUCUCAUAGCUCCCAUUGUCCGGGGAUGAAGGCAUUAUCCUGACCUACCAGCAGCUGCCUAAGUGGUAUCCAUGUUGAACCCAACAAUUCUCAAGAAGCCAUGAAGUCUCGCUUGAUGAUGCAUAAGAGUAGACAAAGGAGAAGGUGCCCAGAAUUCACACUGUAAUAGGCAUGGCCUAUGCCAAAGCUUUCAGUGUUUCCCCCUAGGCCCUGAUUGGCAUCUCUUUCCAUUCUAAAAAAUAACACACUUACAAAGAUGUACUUAACAUUGACACAGGGAACCCAGAGAUACCGAUUACAACAUGUUCAAUGGGCAGUUGGAUCUGCAUUUUAUUAGUCAAAAUAAUCUAUAUAAGAUUCCUUUUUGUGUCUAUCUUAAAGGGUAAUGAGGACUUCCAGUUUCAGCUCCAACAAGAAAAGAGCUUGGAAGUCAACGUUUUUGUCCCAACAAGAACAGAAAGUUGGACAAACUGAAAAGAAAGGACUUUUCUUUGACCCAUUGAUGAGGUGGCAGGGCAAAGCCACGCUGAGACCUGGAAAGACAGGGGUAUCUGGACAGACAUGGCAACAAAAAUUUGCUUGCCUGGAGCUGAAGCCAUAGGAGGCAUAAACUGGCAGGAUCAUUAGAUGACUGCUUUGGUGAUUUGCUGGAGGUUGAAAGUGGACUGGUGUGAGAAUGAGCAACUCCAGGGGCUGAAGUCUUAGGAAGAACCCCACAGCUCUGUGAGUUUCCAGAAACCCCAACAAGUUCUCAUGGUGAGAUUUCCUCAUGGCUCUUACCAGGACUAAUCAUUAUGACAUACACCUAGAGCCUUCUCCAGUUCGAAGAGUUUCUCUCCAGGGAAAAGGAUGUAUCCAGAGCACCAUUCUGAAGCUUGAUCCCAGGCAGAGAAAGGGUCUGCCACUUCAGGCCCCUCCAGCCUUCCUAUGGUACCUAAAAAAGGGUAGAGGUUGGAACACUGUCAGCCAGGAUCUGGGAUCUGGGCUUCAAGGAAAUGGUUUGGGAAUACUGAAGCCAGGAAAGGGAGUAGGGGGUGGAGGGGAAAACUGUACCACUGUUUUAUUCAUUCUAGAAGUGGAGCAACACUUGCAAAGGUCACAACCCCGAGAAGCAAGGCCACCAAAAUACUGAGAUUUGAUCAGAUUAUAGAAUGGUCCCCUGCCACAACAUGUUACCAUCACACUUUAUCGUAACACUGGAUAACAACGGAAAAUGUUGCAUGUUGCAGACUCUCUGAGGUGGAGUCCAUAGGGAAGUCCAAAGUCAAGAGGUGAGAUCAAAACAAGCACACUAGAGGAACUGGAAGCUUCUGUUAUUUACAGCUGCAGCAAACAUUAAACACAGCCCAACUCCUACUCAGAUUAACAUAAAUCCCCACAUUAAAGGCUGAUUUACCACAGUUUCUAUUGCCCCAUACAUAUCUGACUUUCAACAAAACAUCACAAGUCCCACUAAAAAGAAAGAUAAAACACAGUCUGAAGAGAUAAAACAAGUGUUAGAAAUAGAUUCAGAAAUGGCAAAGAUGUUGGUAUUAUCAGACAGGGAAUUUAAAAUAACUAUGAAGCAAGAGCUAUUUUUUGAAGCAGUUAAUACCACUUAAACCUUUGUUUCUCUAAAUUUAAAGAAAACUACUGCUAGAAUUGUUGUCUGUUGUGUAAAUUAAAAUAAUUAAAGCAAAAACAUUUGAAGAAAAGAUAAUUCAGAGAGCAUAAGACAUGAUACAAAGAACCCAGUGAAAGAGUGGCAUAUUACUUAAUAAACUGACUGAAACAAAAACAAAAUGGCAAUUAAA